GGUCAUAGCUCAGGGUUAGAGCACUUCCUUUGCAUGCAGAAGGUUCCAGGUUCAAUCCCUGGCAUCUCCA